GCUGCCCUCAAGAAGCUCAAAGAGUAGGAUCCCGGUCCUCAGCCAGUUGAGGUUCAUAGCCAGACCCUGUCUCAAAACAAAAGAAGUAGAGGUUCUGCUUUUGGACUUAGUAACUAAAGGGUGUAUUGUUAUUGUUUUGGUGUAUUGCUAAGUUUAAUUUUUGGGUCUUUUUUAUUAAAGUUUUUUGUUGUUUUUAUUGUUGGGUGGUUUUUGUUUUGUUUUUUGUUUUUCUUUUUUUUGUUUUCCAAACAGGGUUUCUCUGUAUAGCCCUGGCUGUCCUGGAACUCACUUUGUAGACCAGGCUGGCCUCGAACUCAGAAAUCCGCCUGCCUCUGCCCCCCAAGUGCUGGGAUUAAAGGUGUGUGUCACCACUGCCCAGCUAAAGUAUUUUUUUAUUAGUGUGUGUGUGUGUGUGUGUGUGUGUGUGUGUUGUAACCCUUGCACCAUUACAGACCUAGUUUUUGGCUGAGACCAGGUCUCAUUUGGUACAGGCUAGCUCAGAAUUUAUAUUUAUUGCCUAGACAAGAAUUAUUUUGAACUUUGAUCUUAUCCCUUCCCCCACAGUCCCCAAAGAGCUAGAAUUAUAGGCAUGUGGAAAUAUGCAGGGAUCGUUUGAUUGUUUUGUUUUGUUUGAGACAAUAUCUUUUGUAGGCCAGGGUAUCAUUGAACUGUGUAGCCAAGGCCUCUUUUGGUCCUUACUCAUUACAACAUGGUGGAUAUUAAGAAAGAAAUAGAAGCUUCUCUAAGGCAGAGUGUUUUCUCCUUAACCUUCCCAUCCAGGUGAAAUGCUGUGAUUCAAGUACAAAGUGGGAUACCAUAUCAGCCCGCAUUUCUACUCAGUGGUCCAUUUGCUUCCUAUUUUUAGUUCUGGUUGUUUCCGGAAAAGGAAACAAUUCUAGGGCUAGGCUGAGGCUCUGAGCUCUGAGGCUCUCAUUCCCUAGUUUAUACAAGUUGGAAGUCAACCAUUUCCCAAAGCUCACAGUAACUGAUUACAUUUUGUGCCUCGGGCAUUUCUUGGACCUUAAUCCUAGUCCUGAUGUUACAGAUGUGUGGCACUAGACCUUCAUCCUGGUCCCUGACAUUGCAGAUGUGUGUGGCACUAUGCCUGCCUUCUCUUUUUUUCUUUCUAUUUCUUUCUUAUGCUUUAAGACAGGGAUUCAUGCAGCUCAGACCAGCCUCAAACUUCACUAAGAAACCGAGGAUGACCUUGAACAAUUCUCUUCCCUCUGCCUUCAAAGUGCUGGGACCACAUCUGUCCACCCUGUCUAGUUUAUGCAGUCCUGGGUUCCUACCCAGGGCCUGGUACACGUUGGGCAAACACUCCCUCAGCAGGGCUACUUCUCCAGCCCCACGUGGCCUUCUGAAGCUUGUUAGCACCAGCUAGACAGAGCUUAAGCUUGUGGGUUUUUGUCUGUUACUAUUGAGGUGAAACUCAUGUAACAUCAGGUUCACAGUUUUCAGUGCACAAUUCAGUGGCAUUGAGCCUGCUCACAAGCUGAGGCUUCCUCGUGAUUUCAGAACUUGUCAGCACCCAGGAAACCCACCAUAUGGGUUAAGUCAUUGUUUCCUUCCCCCUCCUCUCACUCUUGAUAACCUCCAGCCUCUUUCCUAUGCUUGUAGGGUGUCUUACUCUGGACAUAACAGGUAAAAGGUAUUGGGUAAUUAUUCUUUUGUGCAGGGUUAUUUUAAGAUACAUGCUUUGAGGUUCAUCCAAGUUGUAGCAUGUGUCAGCACUUCCUUUCUAUUUAUAAGUGGAUAGUAUUCCAUUGUAUGAAUAUACCACAGAUUAUUUAUCCAGUAAUGGGCAUUUGGCUUAUUUCUGCCUUUUAGCUAUUACCAGUAAUACCACUUUAGACAUUUGGGUAAGGUUUUACUGUAUGUCUUCAUUUUUCUUAGUUAUCUAGUAUGAGUAGAGUUGCUGGGUCAUUUGAUAAUUUCAUGCUUAAUUGUUUGUUUGUUUGUUUGUUUGUUUGUUUUUUUAAGAUAGAGUUUCUUCAUGUAUCCCUAGUUGUCUUGGAACUCACUCUGUAAACCAGGCUGGACUUGCCAAAGAAUUCACAGAAAUCUGCCCGCCCCUGCAUCCCAAGUGCUGGGAUUAAAGGCAUGCACCACCACUACCCCGUGCUUAAUUUUUUUUAAGUCAUUGCAAUACUUUUCCACAGAGAUUACAUUGGUAUAGUUCCAUUAAGAGGAUACCAGCAUACCUCAUUCCCCAUGUCCUUGCCAUCACUUAUCUACUAAUUUUUUAAAUGUUAUUUUUUUCCAGAUAUGGUGAUACACAACCUUUAAUCUCAGCACUGAGGAGACAGAGGUAGACAGGUAUCUCUGAGUUUGAGACCAACCUGAUCUAUAUGGAGAGUUCUAGUCCAGCUAGGAUUAUGUAGCAAUACCCUACCUAAACAACAAUGUUAAGUUGUUUUUAAGCAGUCUAGGUGGGUAUGGAUUAACAGUUCAUCGUUUUAGCUUGCAUUUUGUCAACAGUGAUUCUGUUGACCAUUUUCUAUCUUAGGCAAGUAUCUUUGCAUCUUUUCUCAAUUUAUUUUUUAAGAUUAAGGAAAAUUGGGGAGUGUGUGUGUGUGUGUGUGUGUGUGAGAGAGAGAGAGAGAGAGAGAGAGAGAGAGAGAGAGAAAGAUUGAUUAGAAGAGGGUAUCAUUGGAUCCCUGGUGCUGUAGUUAUAGGUGGUUGUGAGGCACCCAACAUGGGUCUGAAACUGAAUUCAGAAGCUCUGGAAGUGCUCUGAACUGCAGACCCUUCUCUCUAGCCUCUUCAUUUCUUUUAUUUUAAAAUUAUUUAUUUUUAUUUUUGUGUAUAUGUGUGUGCCUAUGUGAGUGUAUGUCAAGUACACAUAGAUGCCCUAGGAAGCCAGAUGAUGGUGACAGCAUCAGAUUUCCUGGAGCUGGAGUGCAUGUACUUGUGAGCCAUCCAACAUGAGUGUUGGGAAUCAAACUUGAGUCCUGUUCAAGAGCAAUCUCUUUGUCAUUGUUCUGUUGCUAUGAAGAGACACCAGGGCAACUCUUAGUAAAUAGGGCACUUCAUUGAGGGCUUGUUUACAGUUUCAAAGAUUGAGUCAUCAUGGUGGGGAGCUUGGUGACACUCAUGGUGCUGGAACAGUAGCUGAGGGCUGCAUCCUGAUCCAGAGACAGACAGAUAGACAGGCAGACAGCACCUGGCCUGAGCUUUUAAAACUUUAGAGACCAACUCCAAUGACACACUUCCUCCAACAAGGCCAAACCUCCUAAUCCUUCUAAUCCUUUCAAAGAGCUUCAUUCCCUGACUAAGCAUUCAAAUAUAUGAGCCUAUGGGGGACUUUCUUAUUCAACCCACCACCAGCAGCCAGCUCUCCAACACUACUCCAUUUCAUAAUUAUAUUAUUUGCCUUGUUGAGUUGUAAGAAUUACUUGUGUAUCUGGACACUGAAUUGAGGUACAUGUUUCACAGAUAAUUUUCUCUCCUUCUGGAGUCUCGACUUUUGGUUUCCGGCUUCUUACAUUUGAGUCAGAACCCCAUAUGGGAUUAUGUUACUAGAUAUGGGUAUCUAGAAAGACAUGGCAACGGUGUUCUGAAUGCUCAAUGAGCAAAAAUGUAUUCAAAGUCAAGAGUGAAGUGAACUGCAUUGUUUCUGUCAGUGUGUACAUCUCCCACUCCCUUGGUUCUGAACACAGAACACUGUGUACUGUGCACGCUGCCCUUCAUGAACACCAACAAAUGCUGCCUCCAACAGCCUGCUCAGUCUCCAGCCUGCUGGGCGUUGUGAACCCCAGUGCUCUUAUUAUAUAUACAAUGUCUUAUGCUUUUCUAGUGGUUUUAUUGCAAGAAACAAGGACUUAAUAUUUUUAUCAGCAUGUAAGUACCAAAUUAGUUUCUCUAUCAUAUUGUGCCCCAGUGAUUACUUGUAAAGUUGCCAUUUGAGAGGGCUGGAGACAAAGCAUAGUGGUUAAGAGAACCUCUGACCUUCAGAGGACUUUAAUUUUGUUUCCAGCACUUACAUGAUAGCUCACAGUUGCCUGAAACUCUGCUUUCAAGGGCAGACACCCUCUUCUGUACUCCAGAGGCACCAGGCAUGCAUAUGGUGCACAUAUACAUACAUGCAAGCAAACGUUCAUACAUAUCAAUUAAAAGAAAUACAAAUUUCAGAGUUGCUAACUUGAGUUUCGUC
rnacentral:lncRNA from 1 species